AGAGAAAAGAGUUCACUCAAGCACAGAGAGUGAGAGGGAGGAGGGGGAAAGCCCAGACUAGUGAAAUCAAGUGAAGCCAGGUCCUGAGAAGCCUGAGAGAUAAUAUUAGGGUUUUGACUUUAUAUUUAACUUAAAGAGAACUAUUACAGAGUUUUAAGGAGAUGAAAACCAUAAUCUCAAUACAGGGACACAAUUCCUUUUCUGCAUUUCCAAAUCAAGAAAGCUCAGAAAA